AACAGACCAAUGGAGCGGGGACGUCCAGGGAGGAAGGCGGGGUGGGGGCGGUGGCCAAUGGGCCCACGGCGUGGGCGGGCCGAGGCGCUCCGGAAGCGGGCAGGGGAAAGUGGUGGCCGGCUCGAAGUGGGAGUACGGCGACCUGGGCGGAAAGCGGGACCUGGCGGGUGGGUACUCAGCCGGGCCGGGCCCUCGGAGCUGCAACUGGACUACGUCAAGCAGAAGGUCAACUGCCACGAUUUCUCCAUGGUCGCCCUUUUUUCUGCGGCCACAGUACAGGACAGAUGGAAAGGAUCCAGAGUGCUCUGUGAAUAUGAGAUGCACUAUAUUUUCCAGAAAUUCCUGACUUUAUUGCGGAUGGAAUUUUGGUUUUUUCACCAGUUUUGCUGUGUACUGUGUGCUAAAAGCAAUGACCGCCACAGGAUCCUGUUUUGGAAUCUGCAUGGAGCUGGUGAGUGGAGAGCUAACGGUGCUUUUGAAGAGGGGGUUUUGUGGAAGAGGUUGGUGUUGAUGGGUGCGAUGCUGGCUGCUGACACUGUUUUGUGCACUGUGUGUUUUUGUUGCAGAUGGUGACUAGGACCCCGGUGACUACAGGAACGUCCCAGCUAGCGGAUGGGGGUCGGUGGUUUUGUGUUGAGGACAGAUGCAGGCCCCUAGCCCUGUGAAAGCUAAGUGGAGGGACCAGGGCUGGGGAGGGAUUGGGAGGAGGAGGGGACAACUUGGCAAUUGUAGGAGGGGUUUUGAAGUUGUGUGGUAUUAGAAAGAACAUGUGCCUGGUGGCUCUGAGUAUACAUGGCAGCUCAGUGAAGUGUUUCUGGUUUUGCAGGCUGUGUGGGCUGCCUUUUGAAAUGGGUGAGUGUUUGAGGUGAGCUGGGUAAUGGAGAGGAGGCACACUGGGCUGGUGAUUUCUUGCACAUUCAAUGGUAUUUUUGUGUCUCUUGGUUUCUUAGGUACCACAAACAGAUUGGCUCUGGAAUCCAUGCAGAGAUUUCUGCCUGGCUUUCAGGGGCACGUUUCCCUGGCAGUCUGGUAGCAUCUCUCUGGUGCAGUGCUGCCAGCCAGAUGUCCCUCUCCCUUGGGUAGGACAGGAAAAAGCCCCCGGUCAAAUGAUGACUGGGCGUUUUGGAGACGGAGAGCACAAUGGUGUCAGUUCAGAGCUGGGCCAGUUAAAUUAGUGCCAAAGGAAAGUCAAACACUUUUAUAGUGUAUUUUUAUUGACUGUAUCUAAACGUACACAGAGCUUUCCAGGGAAAGGGAAGGGAGGAGGCGCUUCCCCCCCACCGGGCAGAGGGGUUUGUUACACUGUUGGGCUGAGAAGGUGUUCCAAGUGGCAUCAGUCAGUCUUAAUAGGGACUUGAAGCGUCGGGAGGGCUCUGGCUUUGGCAGGCUGUGCCGUCUUUGAAGCUGAGCUGUUUCCCCAGAAUCAUCCUGUAGCUCAGCUUCUGUCCUGUCCCUCAGUCUGAGGGAAUUCCUCUACUCUCUCCUCUGUGCUGUUUUGUUUGAUGCUGAACUACAGUUGGGGAUUGUUGUUUUGCAGGUGCUUCGUUGUCCACGUCUCAUGCUGCUUGAUAGCUGCCCCAGCCUGGGUUUGCAGCCAGUGGUGGGCCUGAGGGGAAGGGACCAGCCCUGGGUCUGGGCAUUUGGUGCUGUCUUUUUGCGGUGAAUAAAAAGGUGGGGGGAGGGUAUUUGGAGAGUGAU
rnacentral:lncRNA from 1 species